GCUACGGCCAUACCAGCCUGGGUACGCCCGAUCUCGUCUGAUCUCGGAAGCUAAGCAGGGUCGGGCCUGGUUAGUACUUGGAUGGGAGCCCGCCUGGGAAUACCAGGUGCUGUAAGCA
rnacentral:rRNA from 1 species